AGAUAUUAAAAUUAGUUUAUUUUUCUACUUAACUCUUAAUAAAUGAGAAGAAACACAGUAGUCUGUCUCAUAAAGAACAUUUAUAAUACAUAACAAUCCAUAAAGCCUCAUGGUGAGGUAGGAACAGCUUUGGAAAACAACGCACAGUCAGAAACAUACAAAAAGUUAGGUAAAAUGUUGCAGCACUAAAGACGUUUUAUCUGCAUCUGCAUUUCAUGAGAUGAUAAUUGCAUUUAACUGUGCCACACCUGGCCCAGAGGACACCCCGUGGCAGACACAAAACAACACAACACAGAGGUUUCAUAAAGAAUCACAGAUACACUGAUACGCUUCAUUGUGCUGUUUCAAGGCAGAACCAUAACAUGGCAACUUGUGUCUUUUUAUAUAUAACCACAUAUUAAUCGUAUGUUACAUUCCCUUCAGUAUCUUUUUGCCAAAGACACUGAACCAUAAAGUUUUUGGUUUAAAAGUCUUAAUUGAAUGACAUACAAAAGGCUCCUGUGCCAGUGAAAAUGACUGCUAAGUAUUUCAGAACUUGUUAGUAAAACUAAAUAGCAUUGCCACAUGAUAGCGGUAGAGUUACAUCAAAAUAGUGCUAUUAUAAUUCCCGUUUCAGAUGGUCAAACACUGUAUGACAGUUUCAAUUUAAAAAACAACAAACCCUCCACCUUCCCAAGUUUUAACACUGUUUUAUGACUUAACUGAAACUCUAUUAAAAUAAAUAGUUCUAUAUUGUAGGAUUCUUCUCCAUAUUUGUGUAUGUGUGAACAUCCUAAGACAGCAGGUAAAUGACAUUACAUCAAAUGAUAUUUGUUUAUAAACAGUAAAAAUCUACAACUCAAUACCAGUUAGCCUACUAAAUACUUCACAUUAGGUUCCAUAGGCCUUUUCCUUCAGAACUUUCAAAAAUUCAAAAUUAACUGAGGAUGUUAACAAGGUACAAACAUUAAUAGUCAUCUACUUGUGAUUUUCCAAGGUGCUCUUGAUGCAAAUUCUUCCUGGUCAAAUUACAUACCUUAGUUACCCAAACAUACUACUUUCUAAAAUGUUAAAAUACACACAGCAAAGUUUCUGAGUUUUUUACUUUUCCUUU
rnacentral:lncRNA from 1 species